rnacentral:misc_RNA from 1 species
GAGGAAAAAGAAAGGCAUGUGGAGCAUGUUAUUGUUGAGCUCGGGUUAAACAAGUGUCGAAACAGCAUGAUAGGAGGACCAUUGUUUAGAGGGAUAUCAGGUGGGGAGAAAAAGAGGGUCAGUAUUGGACAAGAAAUGCUAAUUAACCCGAGUUUACUACUGCUAGAUGAGCCUACUUCUGGUUUGGAUUCUACUACAGCUCUGAGGAUUCUAACU